GGUUUCCUGGUUAUUUACAUAUGUAAAUACAUACAUUUAUAUACAUAUGUACGCAUAGUAAGCGAAGUGUUAUACGCCAAGCGCAGGACGACGUUUCGCCUCAAUUGAUUUUUUGCACAGCGUGAGUGCCUGCUUUUCCGUGUAAGACUUUGGAGAAAAAGAAGCGUUAGCGAUGGCUAAAAAUUAAAAUAGAGUGGUAAAGGGUGCAGUUGUGGAAUUUUCAAAAAGUACAAAAAAAAAAGUGCAAGAAAAACAAAUUUUCGUUUAAAAAAUAAUAAUAGUAGCAUACAAUAUAUGUAUGCACCAAUAACGAUUAAACAAAAGCAUGCAGCUGCUCCUGGUGGCCUACUCAAAAGUCAAAAGUGCAAAAAAAAAAACAACAAAAAAAUCAGCAACUCCACAUCUAGCAGCGUUGCAGCAGCACAGCAAUUGGGGGCUACCUUCACGUGUUUUUUAUGCGGCUCUAAGCUGUGAGCUCUGCUCGUCUACAUCUAUUACAUUUCUUUGUGUAUGUGUGUGUGUGUGUGUGCUCACUCACCUCACUUACCAACUUGUGUAGCGUAUACGCCACCGCCGCAAUCGUAAUUGCUUGAUUGUGUGUGUGUAAAUUCUAUGUGUGUAUAUAUUCGCUUCUUAGUCAGCUGCAAGUGUCGGAACUGCACUCGGUCAGCAGACAGUUGUAGUAAGCGUUGAAGCGUUCAUCUGUACACUUAACAUACAAAACUCUUUGGUCCUGCUUGGCGUAUAAGUGCUGGGCGCGCGGUUGAAAUUAAAUACAUACGCACAUACAUAUGUAGAUAUGAGAGGGUGUGUCUAUCUAUAUAGUUUAAGCAGAAAUAGAUAACGCUGUGUAAGGAAAUUAAAAAAAAUAUAAAUAAAAUAGAAUUAAAAAUACUAUAAGAAGAAAAAAUUGUAUAUGGUGAAAUGAAGUUCCGUUAAAAAUCAAACUCUCGCUGUGAGAAGUCGCCGAGCGCGAGCGUUUAAAGGAAGGUAAACGGAUUUACACUCUCAUUUACUCAAGUGGCUGUACGUGUUUUUUAAAUGUUUCAAUAAGACACUGUCUCGCGGUCUAUGAGUAAACACCUAAAUAAAUAACAACAAAUUGACGGAGAGCAAGAAAAAAAAAAUAAACUAGAAACAUAAAAAAUAAAUAAUAAAAAUAAAAAUAUAACGAAAUUUACAAUAAAUUGCUGAGCAAAGCCACAAACCACAAAUAAUUGUAAUAUAAUUUACAAUUCUACACAUAUGUAUUUGCAUAUUCAUAUGUAUGUGUGUGUAAUAAAAAUUAAAUUAAAACAAAAUUUUUUGUGCAACUAAAAAUACGCUACAAGCCAAUUAGCAGCAGCAACAAUAGCAACAAACAAACAAAUAAGCACUUGCUAGCCAACGUACAACAAAUUAGAAAAUUUGUGUAUAAAAUUAAGCAACAACAACAAAGCGAAGAGCGUAGAAUACACUGCAAAAAAAAAAAAAAAGAAAUAGCAACGAAAGGUGGCGAGUUAAAAAAGGUGAAGCGAAUUCAGUGCAAGCAAAAGAUAGAAAAAAAAA